rnacentral:rRNA from 1 species
GAUGAACGCUGGCGGCGUGCCUAAUACAUGCAAGUCGAGCGAACAGACGAGGAGCUUGCUCCUCUGACGUUAGCGGCGGACGGGUGAGUAACACGUGGAUAACCUACCUAUUAUACUGGGAUAACUUCGGGAAACCGGUGCUAAUACCGGAUAAUAUAUUGAACCGCAUGGUUCAAUAGUGAAAGACGGUUUUGCUGUCACUUAUAGAUGGAUCCGCGCCGCAUUAGCUAGUUGGUAAGGUAACGGCUUACCAAGGCGACGAUGCGUAGCCGACCUGAGAGGGUGAUCGGCCACACUGGAACUGAGACACGGUCCAGACUCCUACGGGAGGCAGCAGUAGGGAAUCUUCCGCAAUGGGCGAAAGCCUGACGGAGCAACGCCGCGUGAGUGAUGAAGGUCUUCGGAUCGUAAAACUCUGUUAUUAGGGAAGAAAAAAUGUGUAAGUAACUAUGCACGUCUUGACGGUACCUAAACAGAAAGCCACGGCUAACUACGUG